UACGUAGGGUGCGAGCGUUAAUCGGAAUUACUGGGCGUAAAGAGCGCGUAGGCGGCGCGUUACGACCGAUGUGAAAGCCCCCGGCUCAACUGGGGAGGGCCAUCGGUAACGGUCGUGCUAUGAGUGCAGGAGAGGGAAGUGGAACUCCGGGAGUAGCGGUGAAAUGCGUAGAGACCCGGAGGAACACCAGUGGCGAAGGCGAGUCUCUGGACAUUUCCUGACGCUGAGGCACGAAAGCCAGGGGAGCAAACGGG
rnacentral:rRNA from 1 species